UGUCAAUGAUGCAAUCAGUUUGAUGUGUGUAAUUGUAUGAAAUUCAAUGAUUACAAUCUCACUACUGCCUUCCUUCUGAGACU
rfam:Beta vulgaris subsp. vulgaris Bvchr8.sca018.con0254.1, whole genome shotgun sequence.